rnacentral:rRNA from 1 species
GACGGAGGAUGCAAGUGUUAUCCGGAAUCACUGGGCGUAAAGCGUCUGUAGGUGGUUUAAUAAGUCAACUGUUAAAUCUUGAGGCUCAACCUCAAAAUCGCAGUCGAAACUAUUAGGCUAGAGUAUAGUAGGGGUAAAGGGAAUUUCCAAGUGGAGCGGUGAAAUGCGUAGAGAUUGGAAAGAACACCGAUGGCGAAGGCACUUUACUGGGCUAUUACUAACACUCAGAGACGAAAGCUAGGGUAGCAAAUGGG